rnacentral:tRNA from 1 species
AGCUUUAUAGUCAAAAAUGAUGUUAGACUGCAAUUCUAAAGGAGUAAAUUAUUUACUAAGGCUU